rnacentral:lncRNA from 1 species
GAGUCUCAGAAAUGGCCAGAAUGUUCCUUGCUGCAGAUGCAUUGGCCCCAUCUGCAGGUCCUCUUUGACACCUACCUUACUCUCUCCCUCCACUCACACUCUGAGAACUGUGCUCAGGGGCAGCGCUACAACUUCCACAUUGGUCUUUACAGGGCUUGAGUGAUUAUUUCAAGAACAGAACGCUGUGUGGAAACCUUUACCAUAUUUCGUUGUAUCUAAGACACAUUUUUUUUUUUUGAAAUUUAACAUCUCUAAGGUUGGGUUAUGUUUCUUCAUCAUUGUCAGGUUGGAGCUUAAUCAGCAGCACUUUUUUUUAAUGUCACACACAGUAAUGGUGAUGCAUCUCACAAUUGAGAUCAUCUUAGACAUGAUGGAAUAUGGAAUCGUGUGCCUGUUACAAGCCAGGCUCUUGUCUGGGUUCUAGAGACGGUGGAAACCAAGACAGCACCAUCCUCUAGUGGUGUUCACAUCCCACCACAGUGGAGUCAGGACUUUGAAGUCCUCCAUUGGAUCUUCUCGGAAGAUGAGGGAAAUGAGAGAGUGUGGAGAGAGAUUUUGUAAGUCCGGUCUGGAAGUGGUCAUUGUUCAGAAUCCAGCCACGUGGGUACAUGGAACUGUAAGCUGUCUCUUAGCGAAGAAUAAAACUGUGGACUGACCCCCACCCAUUUGCGAAGAAAGUACUGGGUCUUCAGCUUUCAUUGUUCAGCCGGUGGUCUUUGUGGACAACACCAGGGGCCCCUCCUGCUGAAGACUGUCUGGACUUCCUGAUUUUCACUCCUGUAUAAACCCCCUCCCCCAUUACUACCUUUGUCUCCUUGGGGAAAAAAAAUGUUUUUCACUUAAGCAAAAUAAUAA